UACGAAGGGGGCUAGCGUUGCUCGGAAUCACUGGGCGUAAAGGGUGCGUAGGCGGGUCUUUAAGUCAGGGGUGAAAUCCUGGAGCUCAACGUCCAGAACUGCCUUUGAUACUGAGGAUCUUGAGUUCGGGAGAGGUGAGUGGAACUGCGAGUGUAGAGGUGAAAUUCGUAGAUAUUCGCAAGAACACCAGUGGCGAAGGCGGCUCACUGGCCCGGUACUGACGCUGAGGUGACGAAGCG
rnacentral:rRNA from 1 species